rfam:Candidatus Roizmanbacteria bacterium RIFCSPHIGHO2_12_FTLL_41_11 rifcsphigho2_12_scaffold_37294, whole genome shotgun sequence.
GUGGUGUAUGCCGAACGGCUAAGGCGUCGCCCUGUGGAGGCGAUAUCAGCGGGUUCGACUCCCGUACACCACC